rnacentral:rRNA from 1 species
UUCUCGUGGGGUUGACGGUAGGUGGGGAAUAAGGACCGGCUAACUACGUGCCAGCAGCCGCGGUAAUACGUAGGGUCCGAGCGUUGUCCGGAAUUAUUGGGCGUAAAGAGCUCGUAGGCGGCGUGUCGCGUCCGCUGUGAAAGACCGGGGCUCAACUCCGGUUCUGCAGUGGAUACGGGCAUGCUAGAGGUAGGUAGGGGAGACUGGAAUUCCUGGUGUAGCGGUGAAAUGCGCAGAUAUCAGGAGGAACACCGG